rnacentral:rRNA from 1 species
CCUGAACGCUGGCGGCGUGGCUAAGACAUGCAAGUCGUACGGGUGUAGCAAUACACCAGUGGCGGACGGGUGAGUAAUGUAUCGCUAACGUGCCCCAGAGUCUGGGAUAGCUGCCCGAAAGGGCAGGUAAUACCAGAUGAUAUAUCCGAAUCGCAUGGUCUGGAUCUCAAAGGGAAACCGUUCUGGGAGCGGGCGAUAUCGUAUCAGCUAGUUGGUGAGGUAACGGCUCACCAAGGCGACGACGCGUAGCCGGACUGAGAGGUUGGCCGGCCACAUUGGGACUGAGACACUGCCCAGACUCCUACGGGGGGCUGCAGUAACGAAUCUUCCGCAAUGCACGCAAGUGUGACGGAGCGACGCCGCGUGUGGGACGAAGUCCUUCGGGAUGUAAACCACUGUCAGGGGUUAGAAAGUUCUGAUCAACCCCAGAGGAAGGCACGGCUAACUCUGUGCCAGCAGCCGCGGUAAGACAGAGGUGCCAAGCGUUAGGCGGAAUCACUGGGCUUAAAGCGUGUGUAGGUGGGCGGGUAAGUACCUUGUGAAAUCCCACGGCUCAACCGUGGAACUGCUUGGUAUACUGCUU